GGCCGAAGGAGGGGAGAGGAAGAGGAGGUCGUGGGGAGCAGAGAACAAUUGAGUGGAGAAAGUAAUUACAGACUCUGAAUAACUGAAGAAAACCAACUGGGUAACGUGUCAGAAGUUACAGGGAAGGAUGACUUACAUGUGCAGGUCACAGUAACAGUAACACCUAUCGUAAACGUGUACUUCUGGCCUGGGCACUACUCCGCUAGGAGCUUUUGGAUCUCUUCCAGAAUGCCACAUUCCACCUGAUGGUCAUAUCUCCUCUUGGCUGUGACCAUUACUCAGACUUUCCUUAUUUUUGAUGACCUUGACAGUUUUGAGGAGGACUGGUCAGAUGGAAACACUGAGGCACAGAGAGGUUAGCAAAUGGAAGAAACAAUGAUUGAAACUCAACACUGACCCAACUUCAUGCCGCAUGCUUAUUUGGCCUCCCCAGCCCUUGUCUGCUGAGGUCCUGACAACAGGAGAGUACCUUCAAGGCAGUCAGGGUGAUUUCCUUUAUAGUUAUUCCUCCCAAAUGGUUGUAAACAAUUUACUAAUAUGUUUAAUUAAAUGAGAGCAAUUUCCCCAAUCAGCUAUUUGCUGAACUGAUUAUUUGAUUAUUUGUGUAACCUCAGUGGCUACCUUCUGAGGGCAGUUGGUUAAUCCAGAAAGAACUGCCCUAAAAAUUAGUCAAGAACCUGUGUUUCUGAGAGUGGCUCUCAAACUGUGCUCACCUUGAAUUCAAUGAUAGUUACCUGGACUUCUUGUUAAACAUCCAGUUCCUUGGGGGAGGAUGACCAUCCGUCCCAGUUUGCCCAAAAUCAAGCAGUUCCCGGGAUAUGGGAUUUUCUGGCUAAAGCCCAAACCCAGGACAGUACCAGGCAAACCAGUUUUGUUGGUCGCCCGACCAUAGAGCAACCUGCUUGUAAACAAACUACCCAGGAGAUUGUUGUAAACAUAUACUACAUCAGAUAUGGGAAUGAAUUAUUGGAAGAACUGGUGGCGAGUUGCUGGAGACACUGAGAAAACGCUGAGUUUCAUCUGGGUAUGUUUGCUUCUAUCUGAAGUUGAGGUACAAAACUAUCACCCAACGUUCAGCCCAGAUGACAUCAGUGGGGAUGCUUUUUCAGUCUUUAGGUAAGAGAUGGGCCCAAUUUUCCCAACUCCACAUUUUUGCUGAGGGAUGAUGAGAGCGUCCAAAAGAUAUUAGGUCCUUUUGAGGCCAUUAUUUAUCAGUUGGGAUCGAUGAAUCUGUGUUAACCUGGGGCAGUGGUUCUCCACCUUGGCAGCUCAGUAUAAUCACCAGGGAGAGUUAAAAAACCCUAAGGCCCAGGCCCACCCCAGACCAAUUUCAUCAGAAUCUCUGGGAUUGUGAGCCAGGCACCAGUAAUUUUAUAGUUGGGGAGCCAUAGAUCUGAAGCAGCCCUCUCCAGUAGAAAUAAUAUGGAGCUGUCAUUUUCUUGUAGUCACAUUUUAAAAAGUAAAAGCAGCCCAUGAAUUUUAAGACUAUAUUAAACUUAAUGCAGUGUAUCUGAAAUUUUAUCUUU